CCAGCCAUGCCGCGUGCAGGAUGACGGUCCUAUGGAUUGUAAACUGCUUUUGCACAGGAAGAAACACUACCUCGUGAGGUAGCUUGACGGUACUGUGAGAAUAAGGAUCGGCUAACUCCGUGCCAGCAGCCGCGGUAAUACGGAGGAUCCAAGCGUUAUCCGGAAUCAUUGGGUUUAAAGGGUCCGUAGGCGGCCAGAUAAGUCAGUGGUGAAAGCCCAUCGCUCAACGAUGGAACGGCCAUUGAUACUGUCUGGCUUGAAUUACUUGGAAGUAACUAGAAUAUGUAGUGUAGCGGUGAAAUGCUUAGAGAUUACAUGGAAUACCAAUUGCGAAGGCAGGUUACUACAAGUUUAUUGACGCUGAUGGACGAAAGCGUGGGUAGCGAACAGGAUUAGAUACCCUGGUAGUC
rnacentral:rRNA from 1 species